rnacentral:rRNA from 1 species
CGUAAGGCGCCGAAUGAGUCAUUAAAAAAAUUAACAUCAUCCGAUCCCCUAGUCGGCAUAGUUUAUGGUUAAGACUACGACGGUAUCUGAUCGUCUUCGAUCCCCCUAACUUUCGUUCUUGAUUAAUGAAAACAUCCUUGGCAAAUGCUUUCGCAGUAGUUAGUCUUCAAUAAAUCCAAGAAUUUCACCUCUGACAAUUGAAUACUAAUGCCCCCAACUAUCCCUAUUAAUCAUUACGUCAAUCUUAGAAACCAACUAAAAUAAGAUCGAACGUCCUAUUUCAUUAUUCCAUGCUAAUGUAUUCAAGCGUUAGCCUGCUUUAAA